GGGUGCAUAGCUCAGCUGGAUAGAGCAACGCCCUUCUAAGGCGUGUGUCCGGGGUUCGAAUCCACCAUCCUCCACCA
rnacentral:tRNA from 1 species